UUGUGUACGUGAUAUCUGAAAAACAUGCUGAGUGCAAGUUUCCCAGUGCAAGGUGUGGUCGACUGGAUGAGAUACAUGUACAACAGGAUGCACGCAAUGAGCAUCCUAGUACAAAACCAUUAUCACGGAUUCAAUCAAUCCCUGGGUCCGUGUCCUGUUUUUCCACGAAUUCAACUUAUUCCACCAAAUUCAAUUUUUCCACAAGGUUCAUUCAUUCCAUCGUAUCCAAUUAUUCCACAAAGUUCAUUCAUUCCACCAAAUCAAUUUAUUCCACAAAAUUCACUUAUUCCACAAAACCCACUUAUUGAACAAUAUCCACACAUUCAACACUAUCCACUUAUUCCGCAUUAUGCAAGGUUUACGCAAAAUCAUUAUAUUCCGCAAGUUCCAUUUUUUCAACAAAAUCAAUGUAUUCCUCUUUAUCAACGGAAUCUACAAAAUCCAUUCAUCCUACUUUAUCCAAAUUAUCAAUUCGG